AUAUUACACAAACAACAACAUAACUCAGCUCCAUAUUAAUGCUGCAUAAGUCUAUUUCACCCGGAUA